UUUAGCAUGGAAUAAUGGAAUAGGACUUUGGUUCUAUUUUGUUGGUUUCGGGACCGAAGUAAUGAUUAAUAGGGAUAGUUGGGGGCAUUAGUAUUUAAUUGUCAGAGGUGAAAUUCUUGGAUUUAUGAAAGACUAACUUCUGCGAAAGCAUUUGCCAAGGAUGUUUUCAUUAAUCAAGGUCGAAAGUUAGGGGAUCGAAGACGAUUAGAUACCGUCGUAGUCUUAACCAUAAACUAUGCCGACUAGGGAUCGGACGUUGCUGUUUUUUGGCAUGUUCGGCACCUUGUGAGAAAUCAAAGUUUUUGGGUUCUGGGGGGAGUAUGGUCGCAAGGCUGAAACUUAAAGGAAUUGACGGAAGGGCACCACCAGGAAUGGAGCCUGCGGCUUAAUUUGACUCAACACGGGGAAACUCACCAGGUCCAGACAUGGUAAGGAUUGACAGAUUGAGAGCUCUUUCUUGAUUCUAUGGGUGGUGGUGCAUGGCCGUUCUUGGUUCGUGGACUGAUCUGUCUGGUUAAUUCUGAUAACGAACGAGACCUCAGCCUGCUAACUAGUCCUGCGAAUCUCGCAUUCGCAGCUUUGACUUCUUAGAGGGACUAUGGAUGUGUAAUCCAUGGAAGUUCGAGGCAAUAACAGGUCUGUGAUGCCCUUAGAUGUUCUGGGCCGCACGCGCGCUACACUGACGAAGUCAACGAGUUUUACUUUUUCCUUGGCCGGAAGGCCUGGGUAAUCUUGUGAAACUUCGUCGUGCUGGGGAUAGAGCAUUGCAAUA
rnacentral:rRNA from 1 species